AUCUGCAUCCGGGUCCGUGGGAUUCGCGCUCCACUGGUCAGCUGGGGUCGCUCUCGGGUGGUUGGGUGUUGCUUGUUCCCGCUGUUCCAGCAUCGAAGAACCAUUGGGUCUGCCGGUAAUGAUCCUUAUAACAGGGGCACACAAGGCAUUUGCCCUGUACAAAGCAAUAGAAGAAGGAGUCAAUCACAUGUGGACUGUUUCCGCUUUCCAGCAGCAUCCCCGGACUAUUUUUGUAUGCGAUGAAGAUGCUACUUUAGAAUUAAGAGUUAAAACUGUGAAAUACUUUAAAGGUGAGCACUGAAUUUCAAAAGCCGACUGAGAUAAUCUGUUGUGAGUGACAAUUAAAACUUACUGUGACUGUGGGGUUAAAUCUCACACUGUGACCUAUUGAAAAGUGGCAACACAUAGCUAGUUCUUUCAAGUAAUGGAAAGUUCUCACCUCAGAUAAUAGUAUCUUCAAAGUAGUACCUUUUUUUUUUUUUCAUGAAGAGAAUCUCUUCAGUCUCUAUUUUCAGUAAACAAUUUUUCUUGAAAUCCAAGGUUUAAUAAUUUACUUUCAUAUUGAAUAUACAAGACCAAAUAACCCAAAAGAAAAUGUAUCUUUGUCCAUUCUGGAUUUCUUUUCAUGUUUACUAGUCCCACCUCAAUCCCUCUUCCUCACUCCCCUCUAACCUUAAUUUAGAACCUAAUCAGUGGAUAAGAGAUCUCCCACUAUCUAAUUUAAUCUUUACAAUUUUAAGCCAAUUUAUUCCCAUAUAUUAAAGUUAUAAUGUCUAAAUGUUAAAAUAGUAUGGAAUAAACUCUGCAAGUAAGCAGGAGUUUGAUUGCCCAGACUUCAUGUUGAUUUUCCUUUUUCCUGUAGUCUAGUUCAGUAAUUCAGAAACCUUACUCUACCAGGCUGUGUAUUACAAAACACAUAUGCUUGAUAUAAUGGUUUUAAGAGAUUUUCAAGGGACAUUUUGCCUAUACCCAAUGUAGAACCUAUUCUCUGAUUUAAGAGUCAGCUCCACAUAUUACACAUAUGUAAGCAAACUGUACAAACAGGUAAUUUUCAUAAAGCACCUGUAUUUACAUAGCUGAUAUUAAAAGUUACAUAGUUGAUCAUAUAGAUAGGUCAGUGAUUCACUAUGUAGUAUGUAUGCUACUUUUGCUACAUGAUUAUACCUUUUAAUCUUUUUUACUCUAGUAACUAGGUAUUUAUUUUAAUGCCUAUUGGAAAAUACACUGAAUAAAUCAAAGCUAUAUUUUUUGGAUAUUAUUGCUUAAGACAAGGUCCAAAAAAGCUACCAUAUUUGAUUGGCUCUAAUACACGUUGAUCUUGCUGAUGUUGGACUGUGUCUUAAAACUGGUGUCAGAUCAUAGCUUACUGGGUAGCAUUUUUUUCUCAGUGGUACAUAAAAUGGUGUGUCUUACAAUUUAUAGCAUCUCAUACUCAGAAAUAAAGUAUAUAAUCUUAAAUUUUUAAUUCAAUGCAAAGAAAACCAACUCAUAUUUCAUGUAUAUGUGUGAAUAUGGCAAAUAUCUUGAAGGUGUUAUACAAAUAACUGACAUUUGGCAAGCACUGAAAAUAGUCUAUUUUUAAACAAAAUGCUGAUCAUGCUUUGUAUAUAGUUUUGUAUUUGUACUUAUG
rnacentral:lncRNA from 1 species